rnacentral:rRNA from 1 species
AACGAACGCUGGCGGCAGGCUUAACACAUGCAAGUCGAACGAAGUCUUCGGACUUAGUGGCGCACGGGUGAGUAACACGUGGGAAUAUACCUCUUGGUGGGGAAUAACAUCGGGAAACUGAUGCUAAUACCGCAUACGCCCUUCGGGGAAAGAUUUAUCGCCGAGAGAUUAGCCCGCGUCCGAUUAGCUAGUUGGUGAGGUAAUGGCUCACCAAGGCGACGAUCGGUAGCUGGUCUGAGAGGAUGAUCAGCCACACUGGGACUGAGACACGGCCCAGACUCCUACGGGAGGCAGCAGUGGGGAAUAUUGGACAAUGGGCGAAAGCCUGAUCCAGCCAUGCCGCGUGAGUGAAGAAGGCCUUCGGGUUGUAAAG